rnacentral:rRNA from 1 species
AGUGAACGCUGGCGGUAGGCCUAACACAUGCAAGUCGAACGGCAGCACAUUAAGAGCUUGCUCUUACGGGUGGCGAGUGGCGGACGGGUGAGGAAUACAUCGGAAUCUACUUUUUCGUGGGGGAUAACGUAGGGAAACUUACGCUAAUACCGCAUACGACCUACGGGUGAAAGCAGGGGAUCUUCGGACCUUGCGCGAUUGAAUGAGCCGAUGUCGGAUUAGCUAGUUGGCGGGGUAAAGGCCCACCAAGGCGACGAUCCGUAGCUGGUCUGAGAGGAUGAUCAGCCACACUGGAACUGAGACACGGUCCAGACUCCUACGGGAGGCAGCAGUGGGGAAUAUUGGACAAUGGGAGCAAGCCUGAUCCAGCCAUACCGCGUGGGUGAAGAAGGCCUUCGGGUUGUAAAGCCCUUUUGUUGGGAAAGAAAAGCAGCAGGUUAAUACCCCGCUGUUCUGACGGUACCCAAAGAAUAAGCACCGGCUAACUUCGUG